AGAUUAUAUACUAGACUAUAGACUAGACUACUCUAUAAUCUAUUUUUAAUGUUAGACUAUAGUCUUUUCUUCAAUCUAGUUUAUAAUUUACUAUUCUUCUUCUCCAUACCUCAUGUUAAAAAUUUACAAUUACACUGUAAUUUCCAUGCCUGAUCUAUACAAUUGCUUCUUGAACAAGUGAUUAUUUGUUUUUGUUUUUCUAUCAUACUCUCCUUCUUUUUCUUCUUCUACUUCGUUUCUCGUAAGUGUUUCGUUGUUGUUGUUGCUGCUCUUAGCUGCUGCUCCAUGUGUUUUGUAUAUGUUGUUGUUGUUUUUGUCUAUUUUAAUAGGGCCUUUAGACAAUAUUCAAUGAAAUCGCACAUUUUAGUCAUACUUUAAACACGAAAACGAGAAGGCGGUUUGGAGAAAAACGUAAAAUUUUUUUGUAAGAAAUUUUUGUUUUUUGUAGAAAAAAUACAAAAAACGCGCGUGUGUGAUAAUUUUUUUCUAUAAGUGUAAAUAAAUACGAUAAAAAGUGUAUUUUUUUAAGAAAAAUAACAAUAAUUUAAAAAAAAAAAUAUAAACAAAUAAUCAACAACAUUUGUGGGCCGCUUGGCAGAGUUUUUGGAUUAAAUAAUUUUUACAAAACGUUUAAUAAAAAAAAGGUAAUU